rnacentral:rRNA from 1 species
UACGUAGGGGGCAAGCGUUAUCCGGAUUUACUGGGUGUAAAGGGAGCGUAGACGGCUAAGCAAGUCUGAAGUGAAAUCCCGGGGCUCAACCCCGGAACUGCUUUGGAAACUGUCUGGCUGGAGUGCAGGAGAGGUAAGUGGAAUUCCUAGUGUAGCGGUGAAAUGCGUAGAUAUUAGGAGGAACACCAGCGGCGAAGGCGGCUUACUGGACUGUAACUGACGUUGAGGCUCGAAGGCGUGGGGAG